GUGUAUUUUCUUUCAUUGGCUAAUGCGGGCAAUGGGGGUAGAAGAUCAUUUUCACGUGCAGCAUGCAUAUGCAACUUGGAGUGAGCUAUAGUAUUUCGAAAGGAACAAGUAUUAAACAGUUUCUCGGUGAAUGAGACCUUUAAACAAAAAUUGUAAAG